rnacentral:rRNA from 1 species
UAAUACCGGAUGCUUGAUUGAACCSCAUGGUUCAAUCAUAAAAGGUGGCUUUUAGCUACCACUURCAGAUGGACCCGCGGCGCAUUAGCUAGUUGGUGAGGUAACGGCUCACCAAGGCGACGAUGCGUAGCCGACCUGAGAGGGUGAUCGGCCACACUGGGACUGAGACACGGCCCAGACUCCUACGGGAGGCAGCAGUAGGGAAUCUUCCGCAAUGGACGAAAGUCUGACGGAGCAACGCCGCGUGAGUGAUGAAGGUUUUCGGAUCGUAAAACUCUGUUGUUAGGGAAGAACAAGUACCGUUCGAAUAGGGCGG